AGAGCGAACGCUGGCGGCAGGCCUAAUACAUGCAAGUCGAACGCACCUUCGGGUGAGUGGCGGACGGGUGAGUAACACGUGGGAACGUGCCCUUUGGUUCGGAAUAAUCCGGGGAAACCUGGCCUAAUACCGGAUGUGCCCUUCGGGGGAAAGAUUUAUCGCCAUUGGAGCGGCCCGCGUCUGAUUAGCUAGUUGGUGGGUAAAGGCCCACCAAGGCGACGAUCAGUAGCUGGUCUGAGAGGAUGAUCAGCCACACUGGGACUGAGACACGGCCCAGACUCCUACGGGAGGCAGCAGUAGGGAAUCUUGCGCAAUGGGCGAAAGCCUGACGCAGCCAUGCCGCGUGAAUGAUGAAGGUCUUAGGAUUGUAAAAUUCUUUCAGCGGGGAAGAUAAUGACUGUACCCGCAGAAGAAGCUCCGGCUAACUUCGUGCCAGCAGCCGC
rnacentral:rRNA from 1 species